rnacentral:pre_miRNA from 1 species
AAUAAACCAAUUUUUUAUUUUUUACCUAUAAUUUUUGACUCUUCGUCUUAUCCAAAAAAAUUUUGUAAUUGAUAUUUUUGUUUUUAUUAGAUGAUAAAUCAUAAAUAGUACUUUACGUGUGACUAUUUUUUUCUAAUUUCUUGAAGAUUUUUCAAAUAAAACGGACGGUCAAACGUUGGAUAUGAAAACC